AAAGUGGAGCAAUCCAUGAGUGAAGUGGCGUACGGGUGAGUAACACGUGGGUGAUCUACCUCUUAGUGAGGAAUAACCCUGGGAAACCGGGGCUAAUACCGCAUAAGCCUUAGCAGGGAAAGUCGAAAGACGCUGAGAGAGGAGCCCGCGGCCGAUUAGCUAGUUGGUGAGGUAAGAGCCCACCAAGGCAGAGAUCGGUAGCCGGCCUGAGAGGGCACACGGCCACACUGGCACUGAAACACGGGCCAGACUCCUACGGGAGGCAGCAGAGGGGAAUCUUGCACAAUGGGGGAAACCCUGAUGCAGCGACGCCGCGUGAGCGAUGAAGCCCUUCGGGGUGUAAAGCUCUUUCGUCAGGGAAGAUAGUGACGGUACCUGGAGAAGCAGCUGCGGCUAACUACGUGCCAGCAGCCGCGGUAAUACGUAGGCAGCAAGCGUUGUUCGGAGUUACUGGGCGUAAAGGGUGUGUAGGCGGUUCUUUAAGUUUGGUGUGAAAUCUCCCGGCUCAACCGGGAGGGUGCGCCGAAUACUGAGGGACUAGAGUGUGGGAGAGGAAAGUGGAAUUCCUGGUGUAGCGGUGAAAUGCGUAGAUAUCAGGAGGAACACCGGUGGUGUAGACGGCUUUCUGGACCAUAACUGACGCUGAGACACGAAAGCGUGGGUAGCAAACAGGAUUAGAUACCCUGGUAGUCCACGCCCUAAACGAUGCAUAUUUGGUGUGGGUCAUUCAGUUGAUCCGUGCCGGAGCUAACGCGUUAAAUAUGCCGCCUGGGGAGUACAGUCGCAAGGCUGAAACUC
rnacentral:rRNA from 1 species